UGAAAUGGGGAAAUGUUCCAUGCGAACAUCACUUGGACAUGGUCGGUUAGUUGAUCCUAAGAGAUGGGGAAUCCUUGUAUCAAGGGUGCACUCUACAUGAACAUCAAAAUAGAAUUGGGUUAAUAUUCCCGAACCAAGACAUGGUGGUGGGCGACAAUGUUAGGAAAUCUAGAGAUGUCAUCGGGGGUCUGGGAAGAGUUAUCCUUUCUUUUUAUUGACUUUCCCACUGUGAAAUUGGUUCAACCAAAAAUAGGGUCCAACAUCUGAAAUAGCACCACAUGUAUUGUGGUGUUUGGUGCCCCCUCAACGACCAUUUUAAAUAUGGUGAACUGAGUACCAUCCAUGCCCGAUUGUACUCAUAUCUGACUCCUUGGAUUUUUCAAUGUCCACUA
rfam:Picea glauca, whole genome shotgun sequence.